GCGGAAAGUUUGUGUGCGCAUGCUCCAAGGAGCCGCGCCCCCAUCGGCUUCCCUAACGGAAAAUCCACUGCGCAUGCUCAUAAACCUGCUCUCCUAGGAGACCUGAAGGCUGCUUCCGCUAACCCGGGCUGGCGCUGCUAAGCUCACCCAACGAUCCCUGCUGUCGGAAAAUGUCCAGAGGCACCAUCCCUGCUAUGAAGAGGGAAUGCCAGUACAACAGCUACAAGGGGUCUUCCUGUGGCCCUCAAACAAAAAAUCACUGCAUUACAUCAGCAGACUGCAUUGGAGAGAAAGGCGCCGUUACAGAAAAGCCUGAGAUAAAUCACCUGUCAUUCUUGGAGAAAAGGAUGCUCCGGCUUUCCCGAUUUGGUUGAUGAGAUGGAAAAUCAACCCUUACAGGAAGGACAUCACCAAUUCCGGAAAGGAUGCUGCGCCAGUCACGUUUCCGCACUUUGUGAGACGUUGAAAUCUCCAGAAGUUGCCCAAGGUUUUCAAGCUGAACACGGGAGAAAUGACUCUGGAUCUCUGAGGACUGUUUUCCUCAAUAAGGAGCUGCAAUCUUGGCUCCACCACCCUCCCUCCAAAACAUCUCGUGUGUCUGGUAUCUGGUUAUAUUGUGGCCUGACAGAGAAGUUUCUUUCGGGGCCAGUGAAUUUAAAAAAAAAAAAAAAGAAAAGCAGGUCCUACCAACUCAUUAAUACUUUAAUACUUUAAAUUUCCCCCUUUAUAGUACGUUGAAAUGUCAGUAUCUCUUAAGAACAAUGGCUGAACCAAAUGUUUCCUCAAAACUCACAUUUUUUCCCACCAUUUCAGAAGCUGCCUCAGGACUAAGCUUUGAUUUUUUUUUUUUUAAUCUGGCCCAAAUUCCUAUCUAAGGGGCCUGGGGAGUCAUGCCCUACAAACCAUAAAUUCUCAUCAGAUGAGUUUUAUUUAACCCUAUAUAUGGUGACUUGCUUUCCAGUCUGACUCUGGCAUGACAUGUGACAAAGAAGAAAGUCAAAAUAUUUUACCCCAAAACAUGUUUCUUUGCCAUAUUUUGAAAUGGUCCUGCAAAGCUGUGCUUUGUGGGGGAAAAUAUGCAUCUGUAAAGAAUCUCUAUUAACACAGCUAGAUCUUUUUCUUCCAGGCCCUCCCAAUCCUGAAGAGAUUGAGAGUCUAGCAUUGUUUUAAAGGUCUGAAUAGGAAACAUUUGUCAUCUAUCAUCUCUAAGGGUAGCCAUUAUAAGACUUCAAAAGAACCUUUUGAAGUAUUAUAAUCAUCUUUUAUCUUAACCUGAACAUGUGCUUCCUGUUGAUCCCAGGUCUUCAGACAAUUGUGAACUCAACCAUUUGUCAAUUAGAAAAUGUUUAAAUUGGCUGGGCACAGUGUCUCAUGCCUCUAAUCCCAGCACUUUGGAAGGCCAAGGCGGGCAGAUUGCCUGACCUCAGGAGUUCGAGACCAGCCUGGGCAACAUGGUGAAACCCCAUCUCUACUAAAAGACAAAAAAUUAGCCGGGCGUAGUGGCAUGCACCUGUAGUCCCAGCUACUUGGGAAGCUGAGGAAGGAGAAUUGCUUGAACCCGGCGGGCGGAGGUUGCAGUAAGCAGAGAUCGUGCCACUGCACUCCAGCUUGGGCAACAAAGUGAGACUCCGUCACAGAAAAAAAAAAAAAAGAAAAUGUUUACAUUUACCUAUAGCCUGGAAGUCCCUGCUUUGAGUUGCUCCAUCUUUCUGAACCAAACCAAUGUUAUUUCUUAAACAUAUUUCAUUGAUGUCUCAUGCCUCCCUAAAAUGUAUAAAACCAAGCUGUGCCCCGACCACCUUGGGCACAUGUUCUCAGGACCUCCUGAGGGCUGUGUCACGGGUCAUAAUCACUCAUAUUUGGCUCAGAAUCUCUUCAAACAUUUUACAGAGUUGACACUUAGUCAACAUGCCCAUACCUGAUGAGAUGCUUCAUCAAAAUUCUAGUGGACUGGCUAGUUCAGAAAAUGGACCAGCCAGGUUUGCUUAAAUGCACCCCUGCACAACUAUCUCACUCCUGCUUGGAGCUGGCUAGAUCAGGAGACCUGUCCCUAAACUAAUGUACUCCAUGUCUUUUUGUUUUUGUUUUUGAGAGAGUCUCAGUCUGUCACCCAGGCUGGAGUGCAGUGGUGUGAUCUUGGCUCGCUGCAACCUUCGCCUCCCAGGUUCAAGAGAUUCUCCUGUCUCAGCCUCCCAAGUAGCUGGGACAACAGGUGUGCACCACCACGCCCUGCUAAUUUUUGUAUUUUAAGUAGAGAUGGGGUCUCACCCUGUGGGCCAGGCUGGUCUCAAACUCCUGACCUCAGGUGAUCCACCCACCUUGGCCUCCCAAAGUGCUGGAAUUACAGGCGUGAGCCACCGCACGCAGCCCAUGUGUCUUGGUCUUUUUUACUAAUAUUGAUUAUAAAAUGGAUGAAACUUUGGAUAAAAUUUCUGCAUUAGAAUUUCUUUUUAUAUCUGUCCUAAAGCUUGUAACUACUUGCUCAUGAUUUUUUGUGUAUGUUUAGCAAUGUGCAUGUCAUUGAUGGCCUUUGUAAAGAAUGUUCAAUUGAGUUGUAGAGACAGAGGUGCAAUUGGAGUAGGUUGUAAGAAUAAAAAGGAGUAGGCAAAAAGGCACGGGUAUACCAGUGGCCUUCAAAGGGUACUCAGACUUUGUUCUUAAGGGAUCAAUUCCCAGAUCUUCAGUUUCAUAUAAACUCUUUCCUAAAAUUGA